rnacentral:rRNA from 1 species
UGGGGAAUAUUGCACAAUGGGCGGAAGCCUGAUGCAGCGACGCCGCGUGGGGGAUGAAGGCCUUCGGGUUGUAAACUCCUUUCGACAGGGACGAAGCUUUUGUGACGGUACCUGUAUAAGAAGCACCGGCUAACUACGUGCCAGCAGCCGCGGUAAUACGUAGGGUGCGAGCGUUGUCCGGAAUUACUGGGCGUAAAGAGCUCGUAGGUGGUUUGUCGCGUCGUCUGUGAAAUUCCGGGGCUUAACUCCGGGCGUGCAGGCGAUACGGGCUGACUUGAGUGCUGUAGGGGAGACUGGAAUUCCUGGUGUAGCGGUGAAAUGCGCAGAUAUCAGGAGGAACACCGAUGGCGAAGGCAGGUCUCUGGGCAGUAACUGACGCUGAGGAGCGAAAGCAUGGGUAGCGAAAAGG